rnacentral:rRNA from 1 species
UGCGAAUGGCUCAUUAAAUCAGUUAUCGUUUAUUUGAUAGUACCUUACUACUUGGAUAACCGUGGUAAUUCUAGAGCUAAUACAUGCCAAAAACCUCGACUUCGGGAGGGGUGUAUUUAUUAGAUAAAAAGCCAAUGCCCUUUGGGCUCUUUGGUGAUUCAUGAUAACUUAACGGAUCGCAUGGCCUUGCGCCGGCGACGGUUCAUUCAAAUUUCUGCCCUAUCAACUUUCGAUGGUAAGGUAUUGGCUUACCAUGGUCUCAACGGGUAACGGGGGAUUAGGGUUCGACUCCGGAGAGGGAGCCUGAGAAACGGCUACCACAUCCAAGGAAGGCAGCAGGCGCGCAAAUUACCCAAUCCCGACACGGGGAGGUAGUGACAAUAAAUACUGAUACAGGGCUCUUUUGGGUCUUGUAAUCGGAAUGAGUACAAUUUAAAUCCCUUAACGAGGAACAAUUGGAGGGCAAGUCUGGUGCCAGCAGCCGCGGUAAUUCCAGCUCCAAUAGCGUAUAUUAAAGUUGUUGCAGUUAAAAAGCUCGUAGUUGAACCUUGGGCCUGGCUGGCCGGUCCGCCUCACCGCGUGCACUGGCACGGCCGGGCCUUUCCUCUUGGAGAGCCCCAUGCCCUUCACUGGGCGUGUGGGGGAACCAGGACUUUUACUUUGAAAAAAUUAGAGUGUUCAAAGCAGGCCUUUGCUCGAAUACAUUAGCAUGGAAUAAUGAAAUAGGACGUGCGGUCCUAUUUUGUUGGUUUCUAGGACCGCCGUAAUGAUUAAUAGGGACAGUCGGGGGCAUCCGUAUUCAAUUGUCAGAGGUGAAAUUCUUGGAUUUAUUGAAGACGAACUACUGCGAAAGCAUUUGCCAAGGAUGUUUUCAUUAAUCAGUGAACGAAAGUUAGGGGAUCGAAGACGAUCAGAUACCGUCGUAGUCUUAACCGUAAACUAUGCCGACUAGGGAUCGGGCGAUGUUAUUAUCUUGACUCGCUCGGCACCUUACGAGAAAUCAAAGUUUUUGGGUUCUGGGGGGAGUAUGGUCGCAAGGCUGAAACUUA